UCUGGUGACGAAAUCGGAGGGGUCACACCCGUUCUCAUUCCGAACACGGAAGUUAAGCCCUCUUGAGGCGAUGAUACUCUCAUGGGGAAAGUAGCUUGUCGCCAGAG
rnacentral:rRNA from 1 species